AAGAAGCAAUACCGCGAGGUGGGAGCAAAACUACAAAAAAUAGAUCUCAGUUCGGACUGUAGGCUGCAACUCGCCUACACGAAGUUGGAAUUGCUAGUAAUCGUGGAUCAGCAUGCCACGGUGAAUACGUUCCCGGGUCUUGUACACACCGCCCGUCACACCAUGGGAGCUGGUAACACCCGAAGUCAGUAGUCUAACCGCAAGGAGGACGCUGCCGAAGGUGGGAUUAGCGACUGGGGUGAAGUCGUAACAAGGUAAC
rnacentral:rRNA from 1 species